rnacentral:rRNA from 1 species
UGGGGAAUAUUGCGCAAUGGGCGAAAGCCUGACGCAGCGACGCCGCGUGAGGGAAGAAGGCCUUCGGGUCGUAAACCUCUGUCUAGAGGGAAGAAACCAUUGAGGUCGAACAGGCCUCUUUGCUGACGGUACCUCUGAAGGAAGCACCGGCUAACUCCGUGCCAGCCGCCGCGGUAAUACGGAGGGUGCGAGCGUUAAUCGGAAUCACUGGGCGUAAGGCGCACGUAGGCGGUGUCGUAAGUCGGAUGUGAAAGCCCUCGGCGCAACCGGGGAACUGCAUGCGAUACUGCGAUGCUUGAGUGCCGGAGAGGGUGGCGGAAGUCCAGGUGUAGGAGUGAAAUCCGUAGAUAUCUGGAGGAACACCAGUGGCGAAGGCGGCCACCUGGCCGGCAACUGACGCUGAGGUGCGAAAGCGUGGGGAUCAAACA